AUUGAACGCUGGCGGCAGGCCUAACACAUGCAAGUCGAACGAGUGGCGGACGGAUGAGUAAUGACUGGGCAACUGCCUGAGGGAGAGGGAUAGCUAACGGAAGCGGUAGCUAAUACCGCAUACCAGCGGAUAUGCCCAGAUGUGUUUAGCGAGUAGGUGGGGUAAAGGCUCACCUAGGCGACGAUCCCUAGCUGUUCUGAGAGGAUGACCAGCCACACUGGAACUGAGACACGGUCCAGACUCCUACGGGAGGCAGCAGUGGGGAAUAUUGCACAAUGGGCGAAAGCCUGAUGCAGCCAUGCCGCGUGUAUGAAGAAGGCCUUCGGGUUGUAAAGUACUUUCAGUGGGGAGGCGUUACCAGCAGAAUAAGCACCGGCUAACUCCGUGCCAGCAGCCGCGGUAAUAC
rnacentral:rRNA from 1 species